rnacentral:RNase_P_RNA from 1 species
CAAGUCGGCCGGACGGCCGCGGGCGUUCGCGCUCGAGGAAAGUCCGGGCUCCACAGAGCAUGGCGCUGGGUAACACCCAGUCGGGGCGACCCGAAGGAGAGUGCCACAGAAAAGACACAGCCGAGGCGUGAGUCGCGGCGACGGUGAAAUGGUGGGGUAAGAGCCCACCGGCGGCCGGGUGACCGGCCGGCCAGGUAAACCCCGCUUGGAGCAAGGCCGAACAGGGACGGGCGGUGCGCCGCCCAGGGGUUGCUCGCCCCGUGUCCCGGGUAGUGCCGCUUGACGUCCCGGGCAACCGGUGACGCAGAUGGAUGGCCGUCCCGCAUCGCUGGGGAGCGGCGGCCCGCGAGGGCCGUGAACGAGGCGAUGCGGACAGAACCCGGCUUAUAGGCCGGCUUGCACG